rnacentral:lncRNA from 1 species
AGUGCUGGGAUUACAGGCAUGAGGCACCAUGCCUGGCCCUAUAUGGCCUUUUACAGAAAACAUUUGCCAGCCUCUGGACUAAGAGUAUGGUGGAACCACAGGAUGAAAAGAUCCCGACUCCCUGAUUGACUACAUGGAGCAAAACUCCUCAUCUUCCCCAAUCCAGUCAAUCUACACUGAACUGUAAUAGAACUUCCCACUGCAUGGGAUGUGGAGGUGAUGGCUGGAGUUCCAACAGGCACUUGGAUCGUGAGAUAACCUCAGAAAGCUGUUUCCCGAGGGUGCUGAACUGGCAGGAAAGAAACCUUGGUCCUCGAUGAUAUUGUGAAGACACCAUAUUAGCAUGGAUGGCCUAUUUCUGAAUUUCUUUCAGGCCUGCUUCUCUUUACCUUCUGCCAUGAGUGGAAGUGGCCUGAGGCCCUCACCUGAAGCCAAGCAGAUGACAGCACCAGGCUUCUUGUAUAGCCUGCAGAACCGUGAGUCAAAUAAACCUCUUUUCCUUAUA